GACAACGAUCAGUAGCCGGUCUGAGAGGAUGAACGGCCACAUUGGAACUGAGACACGGUCCAAACUCCUACGGGAGGCAGCAGUGGGGAAUAUUGCACAAUGGGGGAAACCCUGAUGCAGCAACGCCGCGUGAGUGAAGAAGUAUUUCGGUAUGUAAAGCUCUAUCAGCAGGGAAGAUAAUGACGGUACCUGACUAAGAAGCUCCGGCUAAAUACGUGCCAGCAGCCGCGGUAAUACGUAUGGAGCAAGCGUUAUCCGGAUUUACUGGGUGUAAAGGGUGCGUAGGUGGCAGUGCAAGUCAGAUGUGAAAGGCCGGGGCUCAACCCCGGAGCUGCAUUUGAAACUGCAUAGCUAGAGUACAGGAGAGGCA
rnacentral:rRNA from 1 species